rnacentral:misc_RNA from 1 species
GAUGAAGAACGUAGCGAAAUGCGAUAAGUAAUGCGAAUUGCAGAAUUUCCGUGAGUCAUCGAAUCUUUGAACGCACAUUGCGCCCGCCAGUAUUCUGGCGGGCAUGCCUGUCCGAGCGUCAUUUCAACCAUCAAGCCCCGGGCUUGUGUUGGGGACCUGCGUCCGACGCAGGCCCUGAAAACCUGUGGCGGGCUCGCUGUCCACACCGAGCGUAGUAACUAACCUCGCUAUGGAGUGGCGCGGGCGCCUGCCGUAAAACCCCCAAUUUCACAAGGUUGACCUCGGAUCAGGUAGGAAUACCCGCUGAACUUAAGCAUAUCAAUAAGCGGAGGA